UUGUGAUUUCUUCAAGUUAGCACGUAUCGUAGUUCCUCUUCUUUUUUCCAUUCAUGGUGUCUGCCCAAAAUGUCCUUAUUCUCCCCUCAAAAGUUGAGUCACUCGACAUUCUGAGGCAUGACUCAACAUCGGGCCUUCUCAUCCACCCCACAUGUGAGGAAAUGCUGGAAGACGUCACAGCGGGCCAGCACAGGGUGGCUGGUCAUGUGGUUCAUCCACCAGAUGAGGCCUUUCCUUCGCUUGGAGAUGAAGUCCUCCUCAAAGCGGCCAGUGGCCUGUUUUUCCGGCAGAUGUGGAACCGAGAUGACGGGAAAGCGCUCCACCAGCCGAGCGUAGAGCCAGUCGAAGUGUUUGUAUCUGCGAGGAGUGAGGAAAUCGGAAAUCAGACACAUCAACAGUACUAACAGACAGCUUAUGCAGUCAUUACUGAACUGAUGUCGUCCUUAACAGCUAAUAUGUUCAUUCAAAUCUGGAAUUUUAAUUGUUCAAAACUGAGGCACUCUGCGCGUUAUUGCCUCUCGAUCAUACACUAAAUCGUAAAUGCCUUGUGUGUAUUUACACAAAAUUAUAUAAUUGAAUUAUUGAUCUAAUUGUACAUAAAAAGAAAAAACAUUCAGGAUUUUACUAUCUUUUACUGUCUUUUUCUGCUAUCAUUCAUACAGGAAUGUCCUUGGAAAAAUACCUACCCAUCAUUACAAAAAAUAAUUGGUUAAUAUCUAGAAGGCUGUAAUCAUUUUGACAUGGUAAAAUAGGACAUAUUUGACUUUGUGUGGGUAGGUGAUGCACUGACCAAGGAAGAAGAAAGUCCAUUUUGGUGAGGAUGCGCACAAAGCCUGGCUUGAAGCAUGGUCCGCAGAAUGGGAGUCCAGAACGCUAGCCAUCAAGCAAAAAGCCUGUGCCGUCACCUUGAUGUCCAGCACGACUCCUAAGAAUAUCAAGGUGGCUCUUGCAUCCUUUCUCUGUGGCCUUUCGUGGAAAAGGUUUGGACACCCCUGCACGAUAGAAAACAGUUCAGCCUUGGCGGAGGUCUGUACUCGACCAAAUAAUAUUGUAGUUAUUGUGUACUUCUGUCCAUCAAGUUAAUUCAGCAUUGCUAAAACAACACAUUCAAUGGUGGCCUUUUGCACAGUACGGUAACCCCCUUGAGGUAGUACUAACAGGGCCAUGAGACGGCAGGGAUAAGAGAACAGCAGUGUGUUGGUUUAGGGACGAAAGACAAUGAAACAAUGAGAAAAGUUAGAGGAAGCACAGGAUUCCUGAGGGCAAAAGGCCAACCUUGGCUCUGCUUUGGCCAUUUGUUGGAAACAGCAGUGGGAGCAGGCCACAAGCCACACGACCAUUUACUUAAAGGCUGAGAGGAACCACUUUGGCCUCAAGGAAAAGGACUUUCCUACCUGCGGUUGACUUGAACAUUGGUGUGCGUCGGGGUCAAGCCGUAGGACAUGUAGCUCUUCAUGCCUUUGAACUUAGUCUGCUUGGUGGGGUCGUCAAUGGUGCAUGUGAAAGGGUACGGGUCCUCCUGCCACUCAGGUCCAUGCUUUCCCAUGACGACACAGAUCCUGUCCCCAUCUUUGACAAAAGCAGCCGCCUCCCCAAGCAGGAAGGCCUCUCCUCCAGACUUGACAAAUGUGGAGAACCUGUUAAGGUUCCUUCCCACUGUAGCCGAGCUUUUGGCCUGUGGUUGCUGCGAGCUGCCCCGCCGGCCCGGCAGGGAGGUGGUCACAGGGUACAAGGAAGGGGGCGAGGUACCCAUACCCCUCGGGACAUCAGUUGCUGGGGAACUAUCAUCCCAGUCGUCGUCCCAGUCGUCAUCACUCCCCUGGCUGGUGUGGAAGCUGCCCCCGCCGCUGCCAACACUCACUGCUUCAGGUCCUUUCUGAGAAGAGGUGGCAUGGGUGGGGGUCACUACUUUAGAAGAGAAACCGUUGUUGUUGUUGGAGGUGAUGCGGUCCCUAAUGAUCUCCACAUAUGAAGCUGGGAAGAGGCCAACAUCUCCCCUGCUGUUCUCCCCUUCCAACCAGCCCUCCAGCUCCUCCUCGCUGUACAGGGUCACCAGCUCGUUCUCACUUAUGGAGAUCUCCCCUUGGUUCUCCGAGUGGAAGUCGUACAACACCCUGGCCUUCAGCGCCAUUCUCAAGAUCUCUGUUGGCUUUGCUCAAGAACCUGCUUUCAUUCCUCACAUAAACAGUCUGAGGAAACUCGAGCUAGCAGUGCCGAUCUAAACUUUUCCACACUUUUGUCAAAAACCGAAUGUGCGUAAUCCGUGCGUGGAGAAAAAAAAGGCAGAGCAGAAACGCUAUCAGAUAUCCGACAACCAACUCCUCUCCUCUCUCUCAGUCCCUGCCUCAAAUAUCAUUUGUUUCCUCCGAGGCGGACAAAAACAUGACGUCAGAUGGACUUUUUAAAACAAGUUGCCAGACCUGCGAUGAGUCGAUGUUGGUGUUUUUAAUCGGAUCAUAAAAAGGGCAGAGGUCCUUUUUUUCCUCCUCUUUCCGAGAUGCUUGAAAGUUAAAGA